rnacentral:rRNA from 1 species
GUCCACGCCGUAAACGAUGAGUGCUAGACGUUGGGAGGCAUAGCUUCUCGGUGUCGCAGCUAACGCAUUAAGCACUCCGCCUGGGGAGUACGGUCGCAAGAUUAAAACUCAAAGGAAUUGACGGGGGCCCGCACAAGCGGUGGAGCAUGUGGUUUAAUUCGACGCAACGCGAAGAACCUUACCAGCCCUUGACAUGGGGAUCGCGGAUUCCAGAGAUGGUUUCCUUCAGUUCGGCUGGAUCCC